AGUGGGGAAUCUUGCACAAUGGGGGAAACCCUGAUGCAGCGACGCCGCGUGAGCGAUGAAGCCCUUCGGGGUGUAAAGCUCUUUCGACGGGAACGAUAAUGACGGUACCCGGAGAAGAAGCUGCGGCUAACUACGUGCCAGCAGCCGCGGUAAUACGUAGGCAGCAAACGUUGUUCGGAAUUACUGGGCGUAAAGAGUGUGUAGGCGGUUGGGUAAGUUUGGUGUGAAAUCUCCCGGCUUAACUGGGAGGGUGCGCCGAAAACUGCCUGGCUUGAGUACUGGAGAGGAUAGCGGAAUUCCUGGUGUAGCGGUGAAAUGCGUAGAUAUCAGGAGGAACACCUGCGGUGUAGACGGCUGUCUGGACAGUAACUGACGCUGAGACACGAAAGCGUGGGGAGCAAA
rnacentral:rRNA from 1 species